rnacentral:rRNA from 1 species
CCUACGGGUGGCAGCAGUGAGGAAUAUUGGUCAAUGGCCGAGAGGCUGAACCAGCCAAGUCGCGUGAGGGAAGACGGCCCUACGGGUUGUAAACCUCUUUUGUCGGGGAGCAAAGAGAGUCACGUGUGACUCAUUGAGAGUACCCGAAGAAAAAGCAUCGGCUAACUCCGUGCCAGCAGCCGCGGUAAUACGGAGGAUGCGAGCGUUAUCCGGAUUUAUUGGGUUUAAAGGGUGCGCAGGCGGAGGUGCAAGUCAGCGGUCAAAUUGCGGGGCUCAACCCCGUACUGCAGUUGAAACUGGCAGUCUUGAGUACAGUAGAGGUGGGCGGAAUUCGUGGUGUAGCGGUGAAAUGCUUAGAUAUCACGAAGAACUCCGAUUGCGAAGGCAGUUCACUGGACUGCAACUGACACUGAGGCUCGAAAGUGUGGGUAUCAAACAGGAUUAGAUACCCGAGUAGUC